rnacentral:rRNA from 1 species
CCUACGGGAGGCAGCAGUAGGGAAUAUUGCACAAUGGGGGAAACCCUGAUGCAGCGACGCCGCGUGAGUGAAGAAGUAUUUCGGUAUGUAAAGCUCUAUCAGCAGGGAAGAAAAUGACGGUACCUGAUUAAGAAGCCCCGGCUAACUACGUGCCAGCAGCCGCGGUAAUACGUAGGGGGCAAGCGUUAUCCGGAUUUACUGGGUGUAAAGGGGGCGUAGACGGCAGCACAAGUCUGGAGGGAAAUGCCGGGGCUUAACCCCGGAACUGCUUUGGAAACUGUGCAGCUAGAGUGCAGGAGAGGUAAGUGGAAUUCCUAGUGUAGCGGUGAAAUGCGUAGAGAUUAGGAGGAACACCAGUGGCGAAGGCGGCUUACUGGACUGUAACUGACGUUGAGGCUCGAAAGCGUGGGGAGCAAACAGGAUUAGAUACCCGUGUAGUC